GAUGUAGAUGCAAUAUGUGUUGUCCUGUUGAUUACCAAGGCUGAUUCAGCUGAUCCAGCUGGUUGGGAAGCUAUCCCCUUCCU
ensembl:misc_RNA 7SK 7SK RNA